UGGGGAAUUUUGGACAAUGGGGGCAACCCUGAUCCAGCAGCCGCGGUAAUAAUCACUAGUGAAUUC
rnacentral:rRNA from 1 species